rnacentral:tRNA from 1 species
AGCAAGAUAAGUUAAUAAAACUAUUGGGUUCAUAUUUCAAAAUUAAAGAUUAAAUUUCUUUUUUUGCUU